rnacentral:rRNA from 1 species
UGGGGAAUAUUGCACAAUGGGCGGAAGCCUGAUGCAGCGACGCCGCGUGGGGGAUGAAGGCCUUCGGGUUGUAAACUCCUUUCGACAGGGACGAAGCUUUUGUGACGGUACCUGUAUAAGAAGCACCGGCUAACUACGUGCCAGCAGCCGCGGUAAUACGUAGGGUGCGAGCGUUGUCCGGAAUUACUGGGCGUAAAGAGCUCGUAGGUGGGUUGUCGCGUCGUCUGUGAAAUUCCGGGGCUUAACUCCGGGCGUGCAGGCGAUACGGGCUGGCUUGAGUGCUGUAGGGGAGACUGGAAUUCCUGGUGUAGCGGUGAAAUGCGCAGAUAUCAGGAGGAACACCGAUGGCGAAGGCAGGUCUCUGGGCAGUAACUGACGCUGAGGAGCGAAAGCAUGGGUAGCGAACAGG